AAUCACGAGAAUUCAUCAGACUUUCUGUUUCCUUCACAAUCAAUUCUUUUGUGUUAGCAAUUAGUUUAUGUUCAGAAUCUAGAUUUGCGAAGUGCACUCGUCUUCUCUUAUCAAACUUAUUUCGAGAUGAUGAAAACCGCUUCCAGAGAGCUGCAUCCAAUUUCUUAUCCAGCCUAGGCGCUUUUUUCCAUUCUUCCAGUAAUUCCUUCAAUCUUGCAGAGGUAACCUUCCAAGCUGUAGAUUCAAUUAAGGAUUCGGCUUCAGUAACAAUUUUCUCCUUGAGGGCAGCAGCCUCGGCUUUUCGUAAUGCUUUUUCUUUGCUCUGCACAUCUUGGUUGAGUGAAUGAAUUUCGAUUUGCUUUUGUACGGGAAGAAACCCUCCUACGAGUAGGAGCUUGACGGUACCGUAAGAAUAAGGAUCGGCUAACUCCGUGCCAGCAGCCGCGGUAAUACGGAGGAUCCAAGCGUUAUCCGGAAUCAUUGGGUUUAAAGGGUCCGUAGGCGGUUUAGUAAGUCAGUGGUGAAAGCCCAUCGCUCAACGGUGGAACGGCCAUUGAUACUGCUAGACUUGAAUUAUUAGGAAGUAACUAGAAUAUGUAGUGUAGCGGUGAAAUGCUUAGAGAUUACAUGGAAUACCAAUUGCGAAGGCAGGUUACUACUAAUGGAUUGACGCUGAUGGACGAAAGCGUGGGUAGCGAACAGGAUUAGAUACCCUGGUAGUCCACGCCGUAAACGAUGGAUACUAGCUGUUGGAGGUAACUUCAGUGGCUAAGCGAAAGUGAUAAGUAUCCCACCUGGGGAGUACGAACGCAAGUUUGAAACUCAAAGGAAUUGACGGGGGCCCGCACAAGCGGUGGAGCAUGUGGUUUAAUUCGAUGAUACGCGAGGAACCUUACCAAGGCUUAAAUGUAGAUUGACCGAUUUGGAAACAGAUCUUUCGCAAGACAAUUUACAAGGUGCUGCAUGGUUGUCGUCAGCUCGUGCCGUGAGGUGUCAGGUUAAGUCCUAUAACGAGCGCAACCCCUGUUGUUAGUUGCCAGCGAGUAGUGUCGGGAACUCUAACAAGACUGCCAGUGCAAACUGUGAGGAAGGUGGGGAUGACGUCAAAUCAUCACGGCCCUUACGCCUUGGGCUACACACGUGCUACAAUGGCCGGUACAGAGAGCAGCCACUUCGUGAGGAGGAGCGAAUCUAUAAAACCGGUCACAGUUCGGAUCGGAGUCUGCAACUCGACUCCGUGAAGCUGGAAUCGCUAGUAAUCGGAUAUCAGCCAUGAUCCGGUGAAUACGUUCCCGGGCCUUGUACACACCGCCCGUCAAGCCAUGGAAGCUGGGGGUACCUGAAGUCGGUGACCGUAAGGAGCUGCCUAGGGUAAAACUAGUAAC
rnacentral:rRNA from 1 species